UUUCACUUGGCAAAAGAGACAGGUUCUCCACUAGAAGAAAUGGACUCCCACAAGCUUGCUGUUAUUGACAGUUCCUCAGGAAAAUACAAAGAUAUCAAAGUUGCUGAUGAUUAUGUAUCUGUCAUGUCACUUACAUUAGCAAUCCAAGAAAAGGUGAAGCAUUCGGGUCGUUUUGGGGUUCAUGCUGUCAGUGAAGUUGCUUCAGACUUAGCUCCAGAAUAUCUUGAGCAACAUGGACUUAAAUCUGUCCCAAAAUCUGUGGCUUAUGGUUACACUGCUUCAGGAUACGGGUUUGUUCAAGAUAUGCCUUAUGCCUACCUUCAUGAAUUUACCAGAACUUCCAUGGCUGGAAAAAUUCGACGAUUUAAAGGUGGAUAUACGAGUCUUUGGCAGAG
rnacentral:sRNA from 1 species